rnacentral:lncRNA from 1 species
AGCCAGUGGGUGGAACUGAGAGAGCCUCUCCAGGGAGCCGGGCACGCAGUCCAGAAGGCUGCAGUAUUUCCUCCAAGGGGGGAAAAAGAAGAUGAAAAAGAAGAAGAAAAAGAAAGAAAGAGGCUGCUGCCACCCCUCUGCUAGCUAUCUGGAAUAGCACAGUGAGCAGCGUCUGCAGCCGAGCCGCGGGUGGAACCGAACCCCAGCUUCUCUGUGAAGUGCCUGGGUGGGGCAUGGCCCAGCCUCCCUGCCCUGCUCCGACCAGGGCUCCCAAGCUCCCAAGCUGCUUCUCCUCUUCAAUCGCCAAGUUCCCAGAGUAUUGCACACAAAAAAAUUGAACAAAAACUCAUAAUUACUUGUCAGAGUUUUUCCCCCCACCAGUAAUAAUAUUCCGACACGUCGAUCAGCUGCUACAUUAUAAUACAGAUUGUUUCAGAGAAGAUAGAUCUCCUUAAAGGGUUUCUCUGCAAGGCGGCGGUGAGGCUAAAAUUAGCUGUGCCAGCUGUGUUUUGCUGGGAGUGCUCACGCAUGCCCGGAGCGUGGGCAGCCAGCCUCUGUGCCUCUCCACUCCCCCAAGUCUGCCGAACACUCCAGCCGUCCUUUCAGAUAAAAGACUCCAGGUACAAAGGCAGUUUCCUCACAUGGAGGGAGAAUUGAAACUGCAAUACACAGGAUGCCACCUCUGCUUUAAGUCCCGCCUGCCACUCAUGGGGUAACAACCUAGGCUCCUGUGCUCCUUAGCUCCAGGAAGCUCAGUUCUGAAGUCUGGGUACCAGCAGAAAGACAAGGACACGGAGACAUCACAUUGGGUUUUAUGUCGAUUCUCUCUCUCUCUCUCUCUCUCUCUCUCUCUCUCUCUCUCUCUCUGUGUGUGUGUGUGUGUGUGUGUGUGUGUGUGUUUCUCUUUUUUAAAAGACAGGGUCUCAGAUACCCCAAGCUGCUCUUAAAACUUGCUGUGAAACGGAAUGAUUUUGGCUUCUGAUUCUCCUGCCUUCCAUCGCCCAGCACUGGUAUUGAAGGCAUAAAUUAAUGAAUGAACCAGGUUCCUGUGGGCACUGGCUGUGGAACCUAGGACCCUGCCCACAAUGGGCAAGCACUCUACCAACACAGCUAUCUCUUGAUGACAAAAAUCAGAACUUGGGUUGGAAAGUGGGUAUGGGACACCUGUGAUGGAAACAUAUCAAGACAGCUUCACUCAUGGACCUCAAUUAUUCCAUCCAUAAAAUGGAGAAGGACAGCAACUGAAAUCAGGCACCAAUCUCAAAGUCUUCUGGCCACAUCUCCCUCUCUAGAGAACUUGUCAAGCAUCUGGGAAUCUCGUUGUUCCUUCCUUUCUGCUUGGUAUCAGACUGUAAAUUCUACUCUUCACACUUCAUGGUCCAGCUCUGAGUGCCACUGAGCAGAGGUCAUGUUGGUGAUCGCCAAGCUCACACCAGGCAUCCUCUGCCAGCAUGAACAUGCCCCCCUGAAGCAGUCUUCCUGAAACCCUCACUUCCCAAGGUAUAGUUGGUUUUCCCCAAGUUGGUUUCUCCCACGACCUUCUAAACUCAGAACAGCAGGCCAUAGCCUCCUCUGUAGCCUUAAGAACUAGCAAGGCCAGACACAAAGCAUGUGUUCUGACAUGCUUGGAGAACAAAAUAUCCUGGACAUAAUAAACAAUUUGUCCCUCAACUCAU